rnacentral:lncRNA from 1 species
AUGUUUAUUUAUUCUCAAUUUCAUUUUUUACAACACUUUCACAAAAAAAUUUACCUAACACUUAGAAAUUGAUUAUUGUACCAACAACACUUUUAACAAAAAGUUUAGCAAACGCCAAACUGCUUUAUCUCACAGUUGAUUUCUCUCACAGCAAAUCUGACAACGAUUAUUUUCACAACACAACAAUCCCAAACUGGCCCUAAAUCUUUUAUUUAAUUAAAACGGGUUGGAUCAGAAUUGUUAAUAACAACGAAAAAAUGAAUAAAACAUUAUAUAAACUUUAUUGAUGAGAAACCAACCCCAGAGGUCAAGGAAGAGUACUAAUAACCUUAGAAAGUUAUUUUACAACCCAUAAAGAUUAAAUACACACCAACCAUCCAAAGUUUAUAUAGAGGAAGGAAAUAAACAAGAAGUACUGACAGAUUUAGGAACAACACUAGAUGACGCUUGAGGAUUAUAAUCUACAUGAAAAAGCCGGUCUAUGUAGCCCCUCCAUAGGUUUAGGGAAUCAAAACCUAGGGAAGUAACUAUGCCCGCUUCACCCUUAGGUCGUUGAGGAUAAUGCCCGCAUGCGUAUACCCUCCAAAACUUUGGAAAUCCAAAGUCAAGCAUCCAUAAAACCAAAUAAUAUGGUAUCCAAAAACAGUUCAUCUUUCGCACACAACAAUAUUUUCUAUGUCAUGGAGACAUCUACUAUUUUUCAAUGGCAUUAAAAAUACCAAAAUUCCAACGUUAAAUUUCCAGGAAUUAAAUUCUUCCAUGAAUAUACCAAUAUUUAAUUCAUGAAAAUCCAAAUGACCACAAAUUGGACGUGCAAUUUUUGUAGUAAGCUUAACAAUUAUUUUCAAAAUUUUCUGGGGUCUCACAUUAAUUGUCAUUUCCAAUCUCAUUGUUUUGCGUAGUAUAAUAUAUAGAGAGUUUUAAUUGAUAUUUUAAAUACGUUUAUUUGAGGGACACACUUGUAGGACUCAUACACAUUGUUUUUCAAUGAUCGAAACGUCUAUUUUUUAGCUAUUCCUUCAAACAUUAUCCUAACAAAAAAUCACUUGAGUUAGGAAUUAUUGAAUGCUGCAAGUGUUAAUAUUUACCACACACUACAGUCUACUUCGAAAUGUGGGGCACAAUAACAGUAAGAACAAUGAUGUUCACCAAACUCUGAG